rnacentral:rRNA from 1 species
UACGUAGGGUGCAAGCGUUGUCCGGAAUUAUUGGGCGUAAAGAGCUCGUAGGCGGCUUGUCGCGUCGGCUGUGAAAACCUGGGGCUCAACCCUGGGCCUGCAGCCGAUACGGGCAAGCUAGAAUUCGGUAGGGGAGACUGGAAUUCCUAGUGUAGCGGUGAAAUGCGCAGAUAUCAGGAGGAACACCGAUGGCGAAGGCAGUGGGCUGGGCCGGCACUGACGCUGAGGAGCGAAAGCGUGGGGAGCGAACAGG